GCCAGCAGCCAAAAUAAUGCUACCGGAAAGGAAUCGGAAGACCCAACCAUCGCAGCGCACGCGGGUGCCCUCGCUUGGUGGGUUGCAUAGCUAAAUUUAUAUGUUCAAUAUGGAUGAUGUACGUAGUGUAGAUGCUUUUGUAUGAAUUUAGGUGUAACAUAUGAGGUUGCGGUUGUGGACAUGAACAAAAGAUACGUGCCUGGUCACUGACCAUGAACUCGCAUGGCCGCGUCCAACGGCGUAUAGGAGCCCAAAUUAGGCUCUAAAGCAUCAGUUCUCAUUUUGUAAAAUAAAACACUAAUGUAAGAGUUGGUCGUUGUAAUGGAGAGGUUUCUUGUGCGAAUGUACCUCGCCAUUUUAUGCAACAUCAGGAGCCUGUACUUAUUUCAUGAAUGGUUAUAGGUUUAAUUAGGAUAUCAAACAGAGAAAUAAGCACUAUUCCUUCAGCUAUUGCGGACCGUCAUUAAGCAGAUUAUUAAUGCAGCUAGCUAUACCACCGAGUUAAAUGGUGCGCACGACUUUUGCCGCAAAAAAAAGAUGGUGCGCACGACUGAUGGAUACGUACGACCAGCCAUUAGAUGAACACCACCAGUGGAUACGCUGGCCACUUCUGGGUCUGUAGCCACUGAUUCGGUGCCCGAUUAAUGGUCGAGAUCAACAACGUACGCACCACGCUAGUGUGCGUGUGCUUGUGCGAAUGAGACGAGGCGUUCUUUUGAUUGAUUUCUCCAUCGACAGAAAUGCACAUCUCUACUAUUAAAGGAGGAUCGGACGUCGUGAUGGUUCGACCUCCUCGAUCUCUCCUCCCAUCGCUCGUUUCUCCCAUCCCCACUCGAAAAAAAAGGAAAAAUAAUAAAAAGCAAACAGACACACGAGGCCACCACCCACGAAAGCACGUCCCACGCACACGCGGCCUCCUCAUCUUCCGCACUCCGUUGCUCCCGAUCUCAUCUCUCUGCUCGCUCCAAUUUUUUUCUCUGACUCCCCCCUCCUCGUCCGCCGCUGCGGUCGCGGUCCUGGCCGUCAGCGGUAGGAGCCAGUCUCAUCGAGAAAUUCUUCACUCCUCCCUCUUAUCUGCACAAAUCUUGAUCGCGUCCGUCCAUGGGCGAGCUUGGCCGCGGCGCAGAAGGAGAGUUCGUAAGCAGCUGUCGUUGGUGUGCGCGUGCGUCCAUGGGCGAGCUUGCCUGCUUUGCCAGGGGUGGUCGUACUACAGUCUGCCAACGUACGCCGGCGACGUACUGGGCCUAGGCGUGGUGUGCAAGUGCAAGUCGAUUUUGGUCGUCCCGUAUGACUUUGCCAUGGCGGAUCCGCUGGCCGCCGGGAACGCCACCGACGGGGACGCCGUGAGGGCGGGUUUCUCGGUGCGACGGAAGUCUGACGCCGGCUGGUGCAGCGAGUGGAGGCCUCCGGAGGCUUAUGCUCCGACGCUAAGGCUAGCGGGUUGUGUCCUACUCUUUCGUCAGGUUCAGGCGGGACAAGCGCGAGCGGCCGUGGGACAUGGACUCAAGCCAACACAGGUUCAUGGCGGAGCAGCUCACCUGCUGGUCUCCACUUCGUAGUCGGCAGCAGCUGCCUCACCAAUUGAUGUAGAUCCAUUUUUUACACACAGACCUCAAUAAAAGUUGGGGAUCAAGAAAUUGAUCGCUUCGAAGUACUGAGCAUGCCUAUUCUUUCUUAUGCAUGAGGGUAUGAAACAUGUUUUUGUUGUCAAGUCUUGCAGCACAGGGGAUUUUUGGUGGUCAAGUGGCCAACCCAUCAGCCAAUGCCGUCAAGAUCUUCAUUGGGUGUGCUUGUGCUUUUUUUGGAAGAUGCCAGGCAAUAGCGCUGCUUCAGUAUAUUAAGGAAAGAUUUACAAAAUCUGAACAUGUAAAUUACACUCAAUCUAUGCAUGUUUGCCCAGAUUUGAAUAACUUUGAGUUUGUGACCAUCGCACUUGGUAUCUUUUCUAAUGUAUUUUUUUGUUUUGCUAGGUCAAGUAGUUCCUGUGAAAUGACUUUGGGAAUGGGGUGGUUCACCGGGAUAAUUAGUGGUAGCACCUCAUGCUGACAGGGAGUGCACGAUCGAGGUAUGUAUUUUCAGCUUGUUAGUCAGGAUGAAGUGGAAUACAUCAUAAUAUUUCUCUGCAUGAACUGUCAGGGACAUAUCACCACAUCCACUUAAUCGAGUUUAUCCAUGUUCAGUUCCUUAGAUUGCCUACCUGUAUUCGGAUUUACCAUGUGUUAUUUGACUGGAAAAAUUGCAUUGUUAAUCGCUUCAGUGAACAAGUGAAAAUGUAGGUUGUAUCCCUCUUUAGUUUGUUAACAAUCUGUUCACGGAGUCACUACUCCAUCAUUACAUAAGACACAUAUGUUAAGGUCAAGAAUUUGUCAUCUAUACUCCUGAUCCCUUUUUAGUUAUGCUGAACUUGAGAAAGUGAAUUAUAGGAACAAGUGAAUAAAUUGUCAGCCUAUUAUAUGUGGGAAGAGGCCUUUUGGAACAAGUGAAUUAUUUGAAAAUUAAAAUCUUCGGCUUUGUUAAAAAUGAAGUUACUCUCAAACUACAAUUCUAUGCAAGCACUGAUCUUUAAAUUGAAGGUGAUUAUUCUUUUUAAGAAGGGAGAACGAUUCACUUUGGUGUACAUGAUCCUAUGGUCUUUUUAUUGAUUGCUAUGGCUGUUCCUAUUUCUCUAUUAUUAAUUAAAGGAGAAUCGAAUGUCGUGAUGGUUCAACUGGUUGGACCCUCCCCUCCUCUGGCCAUCGAUACAUCUUCCCACGCACUUCCCUCAUCGAUUUUUUUAUCCCUCCGAAAACCAGGGGCAAGUAACCCGGUUCAAUCAACCCCUCCCCACCUCGUACGGUUCCGCACGACUGAAAAAUUCCACGCACGAACAAAAUCGCCUGAAAAAGCCCACGUUCAUAACCAUCGCCUGAAAACGAUCCCACAUCCUCCACCCCUCUCCCAAACCCAAACUACCCCGGCGUCCUCCUCCCCCACCGCAGUGAAGGGUUCGUCGCCCCGUCCGCCCCUCCUCCAGAUGCAGUAGUCGUAGCUAGACCGGCGUCAUACAAUCCCACCCCCAGUAGCCGCCGGGGUGGGGCGCGAUCCCGCCGCCCCUGUAGCCGAACCAGCAAACGCAGCCCCUGCCGAAGAUGUGCGGGCCAGCCGCUGCCACCCAGUCGACCGCGCAUGGGCAGGCGUGUGGCGGCAGCCCCGGCACAGCAGCCUGGCCUGGAUAUCCCCAGUGAUGCCUCCUGUCCCCAAUUCUAGGAGAGACAGUGGAGCGCGGUGCUGCUGCGGACGAAGGAGAUUCUAGAUCGGCAGGUUGCGAGCAGAAGCCAUAUACACCAAAAAGAUGCUAUGACAAGUGCACCAGAAAGUUCUGUCGAUUGAUAUCCCCCCCUCUAUUCCUCUCUGGAUUUUGGUCUCUUGGUUUUUUUAAUCUAUUCUAGCUGGUGUUCUUACGGAAGGAAGACCAACGAGAGCAAAAAUAUGAUAGCCAGAAGCACGCUGGUGAGGAGCCCUUGUUUUUCGGUGCUAAUCCCUCAUGUUCAUCUUGAAUAAUACAGUUUUCUUGUCAUGUUUCUUUCAGCUGCCUUAAGAUAAUUGAUGUUGGUUAUUUUGUUCCAUGAACCUGCUCUUGAAUUGUAUAUAUUCUGCAGGAGUACUAUGGUUUUGCUAUCCACAAAGUAUUGUUAUUUUUCUA